AACACACUAGUUGAAGUAAAGCCGAGGGUAAGAAUAACAACUGCGGAACAAGACUCGGUAGUGCUUGAGGGAGGAAGGAUCAGAGUUAAGCAGUAAAAGCACUGACAGUGAGAAAAUGAAGAACAUCCCCGUGGUUCUGAUGGGCUGUGGAGGAGUUGGCCGCCAACUCCUCCAACACAUUGUAACAUGCCGAUCCCUUCACGCCAGCCAGGGAAUCCGGUUGAGAGUUGUAGGAGUUUGUGAUAGUAAAUCUUUAGUUGUUGCUCCUGAUGUUUUCAGCAUGGAGUUAAGUGAUAAUCUUUUGUUGGAGGUUUGCCGGGUCAAGUUGGAUUCUUCUUCUUCUCUGUUGACUCUUAAUGGUUCUGGUGAAUGCCAGGUAUAUUCGAAUCCCGAAUUGACCAAGAAAAUUAUUGACAUUGCAGCUCUCUUGGGUAAAUCAACAGGUUUGGCUCUUGUUGAUUGCUCUGCCAGUUCAGAGACUAUUGGAGUGCUAAAUCGAGUGGUAGAUAUGGGAUGUUGUGCUGUUUUAGCAAAUAAGAAGCCUCUUACUUGUAAAAUGGAGGAUUACGACAAGCUUGUUUCACAUCCUCGGUUCAUUCGGCACGAGUCAACUGUUGGUGCUGGCCUUCCUGUCAUAGCGACCAUAAAUCGCUUACUUUCAUCUGGCGAUCCAGUGCACCGUAUUAUUGGGAGUUUGAGUGGCACACUGGGAUAUGUCAUGUCCGAAGUUGAAGAUGGAAAGCCCUUUAGCCAAGUUGUUAAAUCUGCUAAAAGCCUGGGCUACACUGAACCAGAUCCGCGCGACGACCUUAGCGGGAUGGAUGUGGCAAGAAAGGCUUUAAUUCUUGCUAGACUUCUUGGCCAACAUCUGAACUUGGAUAGUAUAAAGAUUGAGAGCUUGUACCCAGAGGAAAUGGGGCCUGGUGUGAUGUCCGUUGAAGAAUUUCUGGGCGGUGGGGUUUCAUUGCUAGAUAAAGAUUUUCAAGAAAGAGUACACAAGGCUUCAUCGAAAGGAAAUGUGCUGCGUUAUGUCUGUGUGAUUGAGGGCUCAAGAUGUGAAGUUGGCAUUCAAGAGCUUCCAAAGGAUUCUGCUUUGGGAAGACUUAAAGGAAGUGACAAUGUGUUGGAGGUAUACAGCCGCUGCUAUCCCGAACAACCAUUGGUUAUUCAAGGCGCUGGAGCUGGGAAUGACACUACUGCAACUGGUGUCCUUGCUGAUAUCCUUGAUCUUCAGGAUUUAUUUCCAUAAAAGGGUUCUCUCUCAUUUUCCCGAAAACCAGGUGCCAUUUUUGACAGGCGCAUUUUCCCUCCAGAAUGUGCCAAGUUUUCAAUGAGUGGUGCCAGUACAAUACAUUCUCAUUGCUGUUAAGGAGGAGAACGAAAAAGGAAGACGCUUUCAAACCUCUGCUAGUUGGGUAUUGUCUAGUUUGGCCAAAUAUUCUUUCACAUCAUGACAAAGAAGAUUUUUUUCUCCAAUUCACUUACUCAUGUACUUUUGGUUACUUAUUCAUGUACUUUAAAGUCCAACAAAAUUGGAAUGCUACCAUUUGUACUGCAAAAAUAUCUUAGUUAGUGUACUGCAAAAUUGGAAUACAACAUAUAUAUUAGGCUAAUUAGGAUUUUUGCUCCCUGAAUUUUGACAUGUACCAAAUCAUGCCCUCUGAACUUUUAAGGUCAUUAAAAAUGCUCCUUGAACUAUUUAGAUUGUUGGAUUUAAAGACUUUUGUCUAAUUUUAUUCAAUUUUACUAUUUCAGUGGUUAUUUAUAUACUAAAUUAUGCUUCCCAGACUUUGAUAUCUACCAAAUCAUGCCCCUCGAACUUUGAUAUGUACUAAAUCAUGACCCCUGUACUUUCAUCCAUGUUAGACAUUUUUACUAAAAUUAGAAAAAAGUCCUUAAAUCCAAUCAUCUCAAUAGUUCAAGGACAUUUUUAACGACCUUAAAAGUUCAAGGGGCAUGAUUUGGUACAUGUCAAAGUUCAAGGGAUAAAAAUCUUAAUUAGCCUAUAUAUUAUAUACAUGUGAAAAAAAUGUAAUUUGAGAGUAUAUUAAUUAUUAUAGGAUUAAAAUUAGUUCUAAGUGGAAAUAUUAUGAUUUAACCAAGUUAAAUCUACACUGAUAAUCAUGGUCACACGGUGUAAAUUUAGAGUCACAUAUCUACCUUGAAUGUCGUAUUAAGGUUCCACAGUCUCACUGUAAAUAAAUUGUUUUGAAAGAUUUUAGUUUCCUAAUAAAUCUUUUCAUAAAGUCCAACUUAACAAAACACUCCAUAAAUCGGCCACAAAAACCAAAAGCCAUUAUUACCAAAAGAGAAAUCUCAGUUUUAACAAAUCCAAUCCAAAUGUUCUUACCCAUUUUGGCCAAAAUAGAAAUAACAAUCAGAACAUUGCCACUUGGGUUUGGUCAAAAUAGCAACCAGUAGGGCCUCCAUCUGGUAAAAGGGCCAACAUGACUGGACCUUUGCU